rnacentral:rRNA from 1 species
CAGGGAAUCUUGCACAAUGGGCGAAAGCCUGAUGCAGCGACGCCGCGUGGGGGAUGAAGGCCCUAGGGUCGUAAACCCCUUUCAGCAGGGACGAAGAUGACGGUACCUGCAGAAGAAGCCCCGGCCAACUACGUGCCAGCAGCCGCGGUAAGACGUAGGGGGCGAGCGUUGUCCGGAUUUAUUGGGCGUAAAGAGCUCGUAGGCGGUUGCGUAAGUCGGAUGUGAAAACUCAGGGCUCAACCCUGAGACGCCAUCCGAUACUGCGCUGACUUGAAUCCAGUAGGGGAGUGCGGAAUUCCUGGUAUAGCGGUGAAAUGCGCAGAUAUCAGGAGGAACACCCAUGGCGAAGGCAGCACUCUGGGCUGGUAUUGACGCUGAGGAGCGAAAGCAUGGGUAGCGAACAGGAUUAGAUACCCCCGUAGUCCCUGAGCGGGCUGGCAAGGCGCAU